CCGCGUGAGUGAAGAAGGUUUUCGGAUCGUAAAACUCUGUUGUAAGGGAAGAACAAGUACAGUAGUAACUGGCUGUACCUUGACGGUACCUUAUUAGAAAGCCACGGCUAACUACGUGCCAGCAGCCGCGGUAA
rnacentral:rRNA from 1 species